UAAUUGGAUUGUAAGCCUGUUUUAACGAUUUUCGUUUAGGCGUCUUUUUCCCAAUUACAUUUUUUAUAGAAGAUAUAGUUGAUAGUUUUUACCGUGAAAAAACAACUAAACAGUCGCCUGGGUUUAAAAAAAUAAGAGUCCUUAAAGCAGGUUCUUAAACCUUGAUAAUGGUGCAUGGAAUAAUGGAAUAGGACUUCGGUUCUAUUUGAUUAAGAGGGACAGACGGGGGCAUUCGUACUGUGCCGUUAGAGGUGAAAUUCUUGGAUCGGCGCAAGACAAACGACUGUUAGAGCAUUUGCCAAGAAUGUUUUCUUUAAUCAA
rnacentral:ncRNA from 1 species